AUUGAACGCUGGCGGCAUGCCUUACACAUGCAAGUCGAACGGCAGCACGGGAGCAAUCCUGGUGGCGAGUGGCGAACGGGUGAGUAAUAUAUCGGAACGUGCCCAGUAGUGGGGGAUAACUGCUCGAAAGAGCAGCUAAUACCGCAUACGACCUGAGGGUGAAAGGGGGGGAUCGCAAGACCUCUCGCUAUUGGAGCGGCCGAUAUCAGAUUAGCUAGUUGGUGGGGUAAAGGCCUACCAAGGCAACGAUCUGUAGUUGGUCUGAGAGGACGACCAGCCACACUGGGACUGAGACACGGCCCAGACUCCUACGGGAGGCAGCAGUGGGGAAUCUUGGACAAUGGGCGCAAGCCUGAUCCAGCAAUGCCGCGUGCAGGAAGAAGGCCUUCGGGUUGUAAACUGCUUUUGUCAGGGAAGAAUUCCUCUAGGCUAAUACCUUGGGGGGAUGACGGUACCUGAAGAAUAAGCACCGGCUAACUACGUGCCAGCCGCCGCCGUAAAAC
rnacentral:rRNA from 1 species